AUUCCUCUUACAUGGAUACACUUAUAUGGAUACUCUUACAAGGAUACUUUUACAUAGAUAUUAUAUGAUAAGAUACUAUUACAUAUUAUAUGCGUAGAUAUUAUUAGAUUAGAUCUGUCUAUCCUAGUACCAAAGGAUACUAUAAGGGACUAACUAUUCCUACACCCGGCUGUUAGCAACAGAGGUAAAUGCACAUCUACGGAUGUCUACGUUUGAUACCAUUACAGGUAUACUUAAGGGACUAACUAUUCCUACACCCGGCUGUUAGCAACAGAGGUAAAUGCACAUCUAUGGAUGUCUACGGUGGAUCCAUUUACGGCGAGUUUCCACGCCGUGUUUAUUCUAGUACCAAGGAAUAAUAAUUAAGUUAUUAGCUCAUUACCUUUAUUUUGUGUCACGUUCACAUAACUGACGAGGUAGAUUAUACUAGAAUAUCUUAGUACCAAAGGAUACAACAUAAGUUAUUAUAUUAUUACCUUUAUAGUUUUAUAAUAAUAGUUAAACAGGGGAAAAACCGUCACUUUUACAGUGAUUUGUACUUCCAAAACCUUCAGGUCUUG
rnacentral:lncRNA from 1 species